GCUGCACCCGGUGCUAGAAGAUGAAGUUGUAGCCGAGCUGCCGCCUGCAGGAGCUGAAGCCGAGAGCGCCGAAGACCAGUUCGCUUCCACCCCGCUCGAAGGCAAGCCCUGGAGCAUAACCCAGUCCUUCUAAACUUGCGCAUGUCUUCAUUUUUAUGUAUGGGAGUUGUUUGAAACCAUAGAUGCAUGACUUAGUUCCCUUGAUCUGAACACUAGUAUGAUAGGCCGAGUAGUUGCUGUGCUUAACAGGACUCGGUAAAAGUCGAGUGCUUCCCUAUCACUCGCGAGUUGUAGGAGUUGCUUGCUCUCCUUUUUGUCACAACUAUAAGGAGGAUGGACAGGGCAGGGCCUUGUGAACUAUUUUGGUGGUCGGUGGAUUGCCCCGUCUGUCUACAUGAAAUUGAUUAAGAUUGGAAAGUGUUGGUGUUCGUGAUCAAGUGUUUCAAAGUACUAAUCUCAUACCUAGUAUGGGAUGGGAAAGCCUAGUACCUGAUUGAACUAGGGUGUGGCUUAUACCCCUAUUGUCCCUGGAACGAGGUUCCCAUGGUGCAUCAUGUGGGUGCAAGUGCGGUCACAGUACGGCAAGAGGUCGGGACUGUUGAGCAUUGCAUGCCAAGGGAAGUUUGGACCUGACACGCGCCUGGGAAUUGAUGGGGACGGCCGACACAGGAAGCGACCCUCUGUGGUGCGCGGAUGUUGUGAGAUUAGGUUCGCCAUGCAUGGUUAAGAAAUUCAAAUCGAUUCAUCUGCCUCUCACAGUUUGGGACUGCUUGAUCGCUAUGCUACACUGAGUAAAGAUGGAACAGGAUGAUGAUAUUAAUCUUGCUGCUGGUUCUUUAAAUUUUUUGGAAACUAUGUUUGCUUAGCAUAAGUUGCUAAUGUAGUCUGGUUAAUGAACUUAGAAUCUAAGCUAAAAUAUUGAAAGUAAGGACAUAUUGUAGUCGCUUUUGGCAAAACAAACCCCUCAGCCAAAGAGUCUUGCAUGUCUAGAAGGUGGUGGAGUAGUUUUCCCACCGGUCGGUUAAGUCUUGUUGAGCGUAGUCGCUCAGCCUUGCUUGUGGCACCUCUUUCAGGUGAUGUCGAAGUUCCUGAGUUUGCUGCUGUUGGCACUUGGCCUCCCCAGCUCCCGCCUGGUUGGACGGUCGAGUGGGAUCCCUCCUCGAACGGCGAGCAUCGGGAUCAGUGAUGUCAUGAUCGGCCUCAUCAGUGACAUCCGACCCCAGCGCUAGCUUCCGUGGUUUAUCUGUCGGGAUACGAGGUAGGCUACACUAGCGCAAAUCAAAAUUUCUACCGCGUAUAACCAGGAAGAACUGCCGUAUAAGGAUCACGGGAUUACCACUCGACGCACUACUGGUGCGGAAGAUGUAGAUAUGCGUCGAUGCAGUGAAGACGAUCAUGUAGUCGUACGUAGUCGAUCAACGUAGUCGCACGUAGUCGAUCACGUCCAGCAGCUCCUCAGCAAGAUCGCCUCCGGUGCCGCAGCUCGUCGUCGGCUCGUCGCGGCUCGUCGGCGGCUCGUCGAUGGCUCGUCCAAGUGCUGCAGGCGCAACACCUCCAAGGUAUCCACACGUGCAGGAAGGAAGCGUCGCAAGCCGGACUGCUAGAUCCGCGAGUUGCAACAGGCGAGGGCGUGGGAGGCGCGGCAGGUGUGUUUCGCCAAAAGGUGUCCACCCUAGGGCGCCCCCACCCCUCUAUUUAUAGAGGUUCCUGAUGGGCCUCUGGAUCCGAGGCCCAUUAGUACUCCUAAACCUAAUCCAACUCGGAUCAGAUCCGAAUUGGGCUUCCAGCCCCUUAAGUGUGUGACCCUAUGGGUUCGGAUACGUAUAGACAUGGCCCGAGUACUCCUACUCGGCCCAAUAGUCGGUAGCGGCCUCUAGCAAGACGUGCCAACUCCUAUACGCACACGAAGAUCAUAUCAGACGAACCAUCACAACAUAAUAUACAUGCUAUUCCCUUUGCCUCACGAUAUUUGGUCUAGCUUCAAGCCGACCGCUCUUUCUCGAUCCUGUGAUUCGGAAUCCCUUUGUAGGUUAACUCUUAACCGUACGUAGCAUGGCCAUGCAUUUUCGGAUCCGAUCACUCGAGGGGCCCAGAGAUAUCACUCUCAAUCAGAGAGGGGCAAAUCCCAUCUUGAUUGACCAUGUCUCAUAGCAUGCUUCUUGACAAACCCGAAAGCUACCUUUAUAACUACCCUGUUACGGCGUAGCGUUUGAUAGCCCCUAAGUAGGUCGAUCCACAUCUAGAAUACAUGCGACAAUCUCAGGUCUAAGGACAAAGCGUAUAUGUUGUUUAAAGAGAGAACUACUUCUCGUGUUGGGUCAAUCCUAACACAUGUCUCCACAUGUGUCCACAUUAUUAGUUCAACAUCUCCAUGUCCAUGACUUGUGAAACAUAGUCAUCAACUAAUACAUGUGCUAGUCUAAUAUUCAUGUGUGUCCUCACAUGAACUCCGACUAGGGACAACUUUAGAAUAACCAUACAAGUAAAGAGUUUCACAUACAAUUCACAUAAUUGCAAAUCAAUUCAAGUAGCCUUUAAUGGAUAUUCAAUGAACACAAUAUACAAAUCAUGGAUACAAAUGGAAUAUCAUCAUCUCUAUGAUUGCCUCUAGGGCAUACCUCCAACAGUCUCCCACUUGCACUAGAGUCAAUCUAGAAGGUACCUAAUACCCAUAGCUCUUACAUGCGCAUCAUGCUUAGCCUGCGGGAGUGAUUUUGUCAACGGAUCAGAAAUGUUCAGAUCCGUGUGUAUUUUGCAUAUCUUGAUCUCACCCCGGUUAACGAAGUCUCGAAUGAGAUGAAAUCAUCGCAUUACGUGUUUGUUCUUCUGGUGGUUCCUUGGCUCCUUUGCUUGCGCAAUUGCCCCAUUGUUAUCACAGUAGAGAUUCAAUGGGCUGGACGCAUUCGGGAACACACCAAGCUCAAUGAGGAAAUUCCUUAUCCAAACACCUUCCUUCACGGCUUCCGAAGCCGCGAUGUACUCAGCUUCUGUCGUAGAAUCGGCCACCGUCUCCUGCUUGGAACUCUUCCAACUAACAGCACCACCAUUUAGCGUGAACACAAAUCCUGAUUGUGACUUUGAAUCAUCUCUGUCGGUUUGGAAACUAGCAUCGGUGUAACCUAUUACAACGAGCUCCUCCUGACCUCCAUAGACGAGGAACAUAUCUUUAGUCCUUCUCAAGUACUUAAGAAUGUUUUUCACCGCUGUCCAGUGACUCUCACCUGGAUCAGAUUGGUGUCUGCUUGUCAUACUUAGCGCAUAUGAAACAUCUGGGCGAGUACUUAUCAUUGCAUACAUGAUAGAUCCAAUAGCCGAGGCAUAUGGCACUCUACUCAUGUGAUCCCGCUCAUCAGCAGUCGAAGGACACUGAGUCUUGCUGAGAUAUAUGCCAUGUGACAUAGGCAAGAACCCUUUCUUUGCCUCUUCCAUGCUGAACCGCUUCAACACUUUGUCAAUAUAAGUAUCUUGGCUCAGACCUAUAAGCCUUCUCGAUCUAUCUCUAUAGAUCUUAAUGCCCAGAAUAUAUGCCGCUUCCCCUAAGUCCUUCAUCGAAAAACUAUUUUUCAGUGAAGUCUUUACGGACUCAAGCAUAGGAAUGUUAUUUCCAAUCAGUAAUAUGUCAUCCACAUAUAAGAUUAGAAAUACUACAGAGCUGCCACUAACCUUCUUGUAAACACAAGACUCUUCUUCGUUCUUGGUGAAGUCAAACCCUUUGACCACUUCAUCAAAACGAAUGUUCCAACUCCUAGAUGCUUGCUUCAAUCCAUAAAUGGAUCUCUAAAGCUUGCAUACCUUUUCAGCAUUUUUCGGAUCGACAAAACCCUCGGGCUGUAUCAUAUACACGUCCUCAGCUAGGUUUCCAUUCAGGAAAGCUGUCUUGACAUCCAUCUACCAUAUCUCAUAAUCGAAAUAUGCAGCUAUAGCUAGAAUAAUCCGAAUGGACUUAAGCAUCACUACGGGCGAGAAGGUCUCGUCGUAGUCAACUCCUUGAACUUGUCGAAAACCUUUUGCGACAAGUCGUGCUUUAUAGAUGUGAACAUUUCCAUCCAUGUCCUUUUUCUUCUUAUAGAUCCACUUGCACUCUAUGGCUUUAACACCAUCAGGCGGGUCAACCAAGUUCCAAACUUGAUUGUCUCCCAUGGACUCUAUUUCGGAUUGCAUGGCACUUUGCCAUUUUUCGGAGCCUGGGUCCAUCAUUGCUUCUGCAUAUGUCGCAGGCUCAUCAUUGUCCAACAAUAGUAUUUCUCGCAUUUCGCGGAGCCUUGCUGACCUUCGUGGUUGUGGCGGUGCUUCUCUUGCCAUGGGUAUCUCAACUUGUUCUGCUACGUUAGCAUCACUCAUUGAUUCUUGCCCGAUUGGCUCAUCUUGAACUUCUUCAAGAUGCACUGUCUUUCCACUCUUUUCUCCUUUGAGAAACUCUUUCUCUAGGAAAACCCCGUUCCGAGCGACAAACACUUUGCCUUCUGAUCGUUUGUAGAAAUAAUAUCCCAAAGUUUCCUUUGGAUAUCCCACGAAAAUGCACUUAUCCGACUUGGGUGUGAUCUUGUCCGACUGAAGUCGCUUGACAAACACUUCACAUCCCCAAAUCUUUAGAAAAGACAGACUAGGAACCUUUCCAGUCCAUAUCUCAUAUGGUGUCUUAACUACGGAUUUAGAUGGUACCCUAUUAAGUGUGAAAGCUGCUGUUUCUAGAGCGUAUCCCCAAAAUGACAACGGUAGGUCCGACUGGCUCAUCAUUGAUCGAACCAUGUCUAACAAAGUUCGAUUACGUCGCUCGGACACACCGUUUCUCUGAGGUGUUCCAGGCGGCGUAAGUUGUGGAACAAUUCCGCAACUCUUUAGAUGAUUGCUAAACUCGUGGCUCAAAUACUCGCCUCCACGAUCAGAUCGUAAGGCCUUAAUUUUCUUGCCACGCUGAUUUUCAACUUCAUUCUAAAAUUCCUUGAACUUUUCAAAGGUUUCAGACUUGUGCCUCAUCAAGUAGACAUAGCCAUAUCUACUAAAAUCAUCAGUGAAAGUUAUGAAGUAUUGGAAUCCUCCUCUAGCCGUCGUGCUCAUUGGUCCGCAUACAUCACUAUGUACGAGUUCCAACAAGUCUACUGCUCUCUCAGGAAAUCCUGUGAAAGGCGUCUUGGUCAUCUUGCCUAGCAAGCAAGCCUCGCAUGUCUCGUAUGAUUCGAAAUCAAACGAAGUUAGAAGUCCAUCAGAAUGGAGCUUCUUCAUGCGCUUUUCACUUAUAUGACCCAAACGACAAUGCCACAAGUAGGUAGGACUCAAAUCAUUAGGCCGAGGCCUUUUAGCACUUACAUUACAGACAGGUGAACCAUCAAGAUUUAAAACAAAUAAUCCAUUCACAAUGGGUGCAAAAGCCAUAAACAUAUUAUUCUUAGAGAUCACACAACCAUUGUUUUCACUCGCAAAUGAAUAACCAUCCUUCAUCAAGCAUGAAGGAGAUAAAAUGUUUCGACUUAAACUAGGAACAAAAUAACAAUUAUUCAACUCCAUAAUAAAUCCUGACGGGAGGUGGAGUUGCAUCGUCCCGACGGUCAAAGCAGCAACUCUUGCAUUAUUGCCCACGCGGAAAUCAACUUCUCCUCUUUCCACGCUUCUACUUCUUAUCAUUCCCUGCAUCGAAUUGCAAAUAUGAGCAACCGAUCCGGUAUCAAAUACCCAAGAAUUAAUAAUUGUAUCAGCGAGAAAUAUGUUGUCUAUAACAUUAACAACAAGCGUACCUGAGGUAGAAGUACUCUUACUUCCGCCAUUCUUCAAGGAAGCUAGGUACUGCUUGCAGUUUCUCUUCCAGUGACCAAGUUCAUGACAGUAAAAGCACUCUUUGUUUGGAGCAGGUCUAGGUCCAGCUUUAACCUUGGGCGGUGGGUUUGGCUUGGACGUUCCAGCCUUGCCCUUCUUCUUCCAAGAAUUGCCCUUCUUCUUAAAGCUGGGCUUGUUCUGUAUCGCCAUCACAUGGCUGGUACUAGCGCUUUUCUUGAUGUCAGCCUCUGCUGUCUUGAGCAUACCACACAGCUCAUUCAAUCCCUUCUCCGUCCCAUGCAUAUGGUAGUUCGAGAUGAAGUUCCCAUAGCUAGGCGGAAGAGAGGAAAGAAUGAAAUCAGUGGCCAACUCUUGGCCCAGUGGGAAGCCUAGCUUCUCCAACCGUUGAGUGUAACCAACCAUCUUGAUUACGUGUGGUCCUACUGCUGCGCCUUCUGCUAGCUUGCUCUCAACAAAGGCCUUAGACUCAUUGAACCUUUCAGUCCUGGCCUGUGUUUGGAACAUGUCUCUAAGCGCCACGAUCAUAUCGUGCGCCUCAUGGUUUGUUUCGAACUGCAUCUGCAGCUCGGGUUCCAUGCAAGCAAGCAUAAGGCAGCUUACUUCAAGGUUAGCAUCACAUGCUUUCUUGUAAGCAUUCUUAGCAGCAGCGGGUGCAUCAUCAGCAGGUUCUUCUGGUAGUGGGUUGUCUAGAACAUCUUCCUUUUUCUCAGCCCUGAGAACAAUUCUCAGGUUACGGAUCCAAUCCGAGUAGUUUGUUCCAUUCAACUUGUCCUUCUCAAGGACCGAACGCAAAGCAAACGGUGUAGUGCUGCUAGGUGCCAUUAAUCUACAACAAAAGUAAUGCAAAAUACACUAAGACAAACGUAUCCAUGAUAGAGCAAAUUACAUUAAACUAUUUUAACAGAAUCUACUCCCACUAAAAUCAAUAUCCCUCUAUUGAAACUUAGUGAUUCAGGAUCCACAACUAACAAGUCCACUAGUGAGCUUUAGCAUCACCGCUAGCAAACGAGGUAGAACGGUAAGCAACUUUUGCUAAUCAUAUCACAUAUGACUCCUGUUGUUGGGUGACAUCUCUAUGUCUCGGCGCCCAACCUUUAUGCCCCAAGGUCCUUAACCGUUAAGAUAACCUCGUUAAGCAAACCAACCCAUAUGCGUGUAAGUGUCCGACACAAACCCGUCUAGUCAAGGAAAACUAGUGGCACCCUAAUUUCAUAGACCCACCACUAAUUGUACAAGACAUGGGACGGUGCAAGUUUUAGUUGGGAGGGCAUAGUAACUUAAACUUUGUGAGGGAUCGUUCUACUUCUAACAUCACAGCAUGCAGAAAGUAAAACAUAAACAGAAUAGCAUUCACACAGUUGUGACACAGUAUGGCCCGUUUUCAUAUGGUGAUCCCCAUCUCCAUAGAACCUGUUCACAAUGGUGAUCUCCAUCUCCAUGUUCCAUGUGCGCCAUCCUCCUGGUGAUGAGUCCUCCAAGAACUAGAGCAUGCUAUUACGCCUAAUAGCUAGUAAAGAAUCUAGUAAUGAAGAUUACAUAGUUGCUUGGAUCAUCACAGAUUGGUACGCAGACCAUUAAAUACAAUAAAGUGACAACACAUAUGGCUCCUGCCAUGUUGCCGUACGCGCGACACGCAGGUCACGAAUGAGUUACACACAUGCAUCACAUACACAAGGGGGCCAUACUGAUCACAAGAUACAUACAUACAUCCUGCAAAAGAGAGUUAGGCGUCCUAACGUUCCAAACUUCGGAGGCCCGAAACUCCUUCUUCCAAGCCGAAUUUGGGAAAUCUAAUUUCGCCAAAAACGGCGAAGCGGAUGAAAUUCAUGUGUAACUUUUUCUGUAGAUCAAUUUUCGUAUAGAAAUCGCCCCGAUCCGAGAUCGUACCGAAAAGUUACGGCUGAUUUACCGAAGCAUACGCAUACGGCAAAAUCCCGACCCCGGCAGUAGAUCCCAUCUACCAUUGCACAUCUAAUGGCCUGGCGUAUGACCCUGGAUCUCGAUUCGACCAAUCAUAUUGAUCUUCGCUCACUGCAACUGGAUUUACGUGUAUCACUUAACUCCGAUGGCGGAAACCGACCGGUAGGAGUAUGUCGUUACACUACCAUUGCAGCAAGGGCACGAAAUCAGGACAUAGAUCAAACAGAGAACUCGCAUAUCUCCAUAUGCACACAUCCCGAAUCCCAAACUAAGCAGCUACGGCUCUUUAUACCACUGUCGGGAUACGAGGUAGGCUACACUAGCGCAAAUCAAAAUUUCUACCGCGUAUAACCAGGAAGAACUGCCGUAUAAGGAUCACGGGAUUACCACUCGACGCACUACUGGUGCGGAAGAUGUAGAUAUGCGUCGAUGCAGUGAAGACGAUCACGUAGUCGUACGUAGUCGAUCAACGUAGUCGCACGUAGUCGAUCACGUCCAGCAGCUCCUCAGCAAGAUCGCCUCCGGUGCCGCAGCUCGUCGUCGGCUCGUCGCGGCUCGUCGGCGGCUCGUCGAUGGCUCGUCCAAGUGCUGCAGGCGCAACACCUCCAAGGUAUCCACACGUGCAGGAAGGAAGCGUCGCAAGCCGGACUGCUAGAUCCGCGAGUUGCAACAGGCGAGGGCGUGGGAGGCGCGGCAGGUGUGUUUCGCCAAAAAAUGUCCACCCUAGGGCGCCCCCACCCCUCUAUUUAUAGAGGUUCCUGAUGGGCCUCUGGAUCCGAGGCCCAUUAGUACUCCUAAACCUAAUCCAACUCGGAUCAGAUCUGAAUUGGGCUUCCAGCCCCUUAAGUGUGUGACCCUAUGGGUUCGGAUACGUAUAGACAUGGCCCGAGUACUCCUACUCGGCCCAAUAGUCGGUAGCGGCCUCUAGCAAGACGUGCCAACUCCUAUACGCACACGAAGAUCAUAUCAGACGAACCAUCACAACAUAAUAUACAUGCUAUUCCCUUUGCCUCACGAUAUUUGGUCUAGCUUGAAGCCGACCGCUCUUUCUCGAUCCUGUGAUUCGGAAUCCCUUUGUAGGUUAACUCUUAACCGUACGUAGCAUGGCCAUGCAUUUUCGGAUCCGAUCACUCGAGGGGCCCAGAGAUAUCACUCUCAAUCAGAGAGGGGCAAAUCCCAUCUUGAUUGACCAUGUCUCAUAGCAUGCUUCUUGACAAACCCGAAAGCUACCUUUAUAACUACCCUGUUACGGCGUAGCGUUUGAUAGCCCCUAAGUAGGUCGAUCCACAUCUAGAAUACAUGCGACAAUCUCAGGUCUAAGGACAAAGCGUAUAUGUUGUUUAAAGAGAGAACUACUUCUCGUGUUGGGUCAAUCCUAACACAUGUCUCCACAUGUGUCCACAUUAUUAGUUCAACAUCUCCAUGUCCAUGACUUGUGAAACAUAGUCAUCAACUAAUACAUGUGCUAGUCUAAUAUUCAUGUGUGUCCUCACAUGAACUCUGACUAGGGACAACUUUAGAAUAACCAUACAAGUAAAGAGUUUCACAUACAAUUCACAUAAUUGCAAAUCAAUUCAAGUAGCCUUUAAUGGAUAUUCAAUGAACACAAUAUACAAAUCAUGGAUACAAAUGGAAUAUCAUCAUCUCUAUGAUUGCCUCUAGGGCAUACCUCCAACAUUAUCUUGCCGCUACUUAUGAACUCUGUAAAACUUUGAUUUUUGAACCAGUGUUGUAACAAAUUGAUGUACUUGUUUAAGUUGGAUGAUCUGUUGUGUUCUCUGGAACCACUCACCUUCGUGUGAGCUCUGCUAUUUCGGUCUUGUGUAGUGGUUUUAUCGGAUGAAAUUCGACGGACUGCCGAGUUAACUUGAUUAAAGCAUAUCAUCGCGGUUGUGUUCGCCCACAUCUAUUAUACGUGCGCAGGUUCCGUAUGUUAACUCAUACGAAGGGUGGUAGGGUUUGAUUCCAACGAGCCUAUCAUCACAGUUGUUCGCCCACGUUUAUGAUACGUGCGCUUGAUUCCGCAUCAUGAGUAUGCGAAGGGUUAUAUGGUCCUAUUCAAAGGGGACCUAUUUCCACAGUUGUGAUGUUGUCCAUGCAGCGUUAAACGCAUGGGUGCCGUUUCUAUAGUGAACGGUAAUGAUUGGGGAUGCUUUCGUGUGUGCUGGCACGAAAGGUUCAUAUGGUUGUGUUUUUCUGCAGGUACACUAACUACGUUCGCAUAGGAAGGUGAUAUUAGAAACCUGACUAGAUACUAUAGGGAGUGACGUAAGUGUUGCCUUGCCACCGGCACUAACUACGUAAGUCCAAGGCUUUUGGCAGUUAUUUUUGGUUGAGAGGACGAUGUAGGUCGUGCAUGCGUCAUGAACUAAAAUCUGUUGACCCACAUCCUUAAAACAACCUUGCCCUGGUGUUAAGCUCUUCCUCGCUUUAAGGAUUUCUAGCUACCUUUUCAGCAUGUGUACCUGUCAAACAUCCGUGUGUUUCACCCUGUCCGAUCUGCUCACUCCACUUCUCUCACCAAACCUGUUGCCAACUAUUAGAAGGGAAUGUUGUAGUAAAUUGGAAGUUUGGGUGAAUCCUUGAUGAGUUUUUGAGCUUUUCUAGCCUCCCAGAAUCUGUUUCUCUUUGGGGUUUCAAUCUCACGCUUCUUUCGGUUCUUGGUUCUAGAUGGCUGCUCCCGGGCAUGUGUUUCGUGACGCCAAUGGCACCUCCCACUCCGCAUGCCUACACUUCGAGGGUUUUCCUGCUAUUUUGUGGGACACCUUGAGGUGGUUUGGGUACCAGUCGCCGCCUCUUUACGCGGGACGUGAGUACCAAGAGCACGGCAUGCAGCGGUGCAACGUGCAAGUGGUUGUACCUCCACCCCCAGCGCAGCCCGAGUGGCCCCAGCUCGAGGUCUCGACCUAUGGUCAUACCCUUGAGGAUACUUGGGAAUCCGCUGCCUUGCAAGCUCUCACUUAGUUUUGCCGGCUACACCCGUUCGAGGUCCUUUUGGACCCAAUCGGCUUGUUUCCAGCCAGGGAUCUGAUGGACGAAGCUUGGCUCGACUGAAUAGAUAACAUGGAGGUGUUGGCUGCCUCACACUCGCUGGUCACCGUUUCCACCGCGACACGGUGCAUGACCGCUUUGUACCGACUGGUUGAGCUUCAGGGAAGUGAUAUGGCUGUCUUGGCAAGGAUAGCUGUAGACACCCAAGAGCAUCUCCACACCGCCAAGAGAGAUUUGGUGGAACAAUCGUAUCAGCUUAUCCAGAGAGGCAUACAGGUCUCCGAUAUGCAGACCCGGAUUACCGAGCUAGAGGAAGAAGUGACCGACAUGGAGCAUGAUGUGGUGCUACUCGCAGAAGAAAAGCUAGGGGUUGAGAUGGAGCUCGCGGUUGCUAAUGCACACUUGGCUGAGCACCACGCUGAGCUCGAUGCUAUCCGUGCCUUAGAGAUGCAGCUCGAUGAGCCUAUGGUUCAAGAGGAGGAGGAGGAAGACCCCAAGGAGGUAGAGGGAGUCUCAAGCAUGGACAUUGAAGUUGGUGACGCCCCUUCUCCGACGCACAGUGUUUCCUCCAUAGGCAACCUGGAUUACUUUUAGAUUGAGGCUGUAGUAAGUUGGUCUUUUGUUGUACUCCUCGGUAACCUAUAAUUUUGGAUGAUGAUGUAAUAGGUUAGCCUUGAGUUGAGUACUUCUCCUGUGUUAAGAGACUGGUAAUGAAAUGAUCAUGGUGAAAUUAGUUCCUGUUUCCCACCUCGCUCUUGACUCCACUUCUGCCACCUUUGGGACAUGCUUGAAUGUCAAAGUUGUGUGAAAAUUUGUGCUGCAGCCGCACGCAAAGUUUCCGCUCUUAUGGGUCUGUCAAAACUUGGCCCGACCCCGGGCCAUAGGGUUGGAUGCGCCCGACCCCUCGCGGUAGGUCUCCGCCUCGCCCGAACCGGGCAUUAAGGGUCGGACAUACCCGGACCCACGGGGCAGAGCUUCACCUCACCCGAGAACAUGCGCGGACCAGCCGAUGAGAACACGAAUCUUGUGGGCCCUACCGAACAUAGAUCAAAAUAUCCUUCCGUUCGGUUAGCAAGAGUAAAACGAAAGCAGCUGGGUGCAGAAACGAGCUAAUUGCUGGCUAAGAUGGCAAGGAAAGAUAUGCACCUACUCAAUAAAAUAUGUGAUUGUUGUAUUUGCACUAUUGGUGAGAGUAGCAUUUCAGGAUUCAGCACAUAAGUUCCCUCAUGAUUGGAAAGCUUUUGGGAUUAUGUGACUAAUGGGAAGCUGACUCUUGCAGAUGGCGCACCGCACCCGUUCCGGCUCUGUUCCCAGUGGCAAUGAGCAGAGGCUAGUACCUCCACCGCCUCCACCUCCACCUCCGCCUUCACUAGAGGCAAUCUUGGCUGCUCAAACUGAGCUGCUGAGACAUAUUGCCCAAGGGUAGCAGCAGCAGCCCCAGGGAGGAUGGGCUCAUCAGCAACCUCAUGUUGCUCGCUAUGAGGACUUCCUGGGAACGCAGCCCCCUCUAUUCCAAAAGACGCAAGACCCACUUGACGCCGACACUUGGAUUCGUGCCAUCGAGUCCAAGUUCUCCCUCCUCACCACCCCCUGCCCGGAUGAGAACAUGGCUCGGUUCACCGCGCAGCAACUGCGUGGUUCUACCCUCCUAUGAUGGGAUCACUACCACGCCAUGCAGCCAGCCAACCACGUUGUUAGCUGGGAAGAGUUCAAGACGGCGUUCAGGGACCAUCACAUCCCUGAAGGUCUCCUGGAGCGCAAGCUCAACGAGAUCCUGGCUCUUACACAGGGAAGCCACGAUGUCCUGCACUAUGCGCAGGCUUUCAACGAUCUGUGCCGUUAUGCCAGCUACCAUGCGGACACAGAUGAGAAGAAGCAUGACAGGUUUCGCAGAGGAUUGAGCCUAGAGCUCAGAGAGAGACUGAACCCAAUAAAGGCGAAUACCUAUAAUGAGCUGGUCAACUUGGCCAUCUCACAAGAGGAUUGCAUGAAGGCUCUGGCAGCCGAGAGAAAGAGGAAGGCAGCAAUGCCGACACCCAACCCACCUGCACAGAGAUACCGGAUGGCUCCCCCUCAAGUGCCCAGCCGACCACACUAGUCGGGAAGAUGGGUUGCCCAACCCCCACUAUCGGUAACACUUCAUUUCCCGGGAUUUCAAUAGCAGGCACCGCGGCCGACUCUACCACCGCCGCCCCACCCUGCCAAUGGAAACAGCUGCUACACUUGUGGUCUCAUGGGACACUUUGCCAAGGACUGCCCCCGCAACCAAAAUUAGCGCCCAAGUCAGAACAAUGCAAUGAUCAACAAGGGGAAGAAGCCCAAGGUGCAGUUCCGUCAGGGUCGGCUGAACUUCACCAACGCAGCAGAGCUUCCUGAAGGUGAACUAGUAAUGACGGGUACCUUUCUUAUCCACAGUCGCUCAGCUUUAAUUUUGUUUCACUUAGGAGCAUCACAUAGUUUUAUUGGAAGAAAAACUAGUGACAAAUAUGGGUUAAAAGAGUGCCAAACAAAAGGGUCUUUUAGGAUAUCCACCCCGGGUGGGGUAAUCAUGUCAGACAAGAUGAAUGUCAAUGUGCCUAUCCAACUAGGCCAAACCCUCUUUAAGGAAAAUCUCGUUAUCCUCGGUCUAGAGGGGAUAGAUAUCAUCUUGGGUAUGGAUUGGAUGACUAGACACCAAGUUAUGCUAGACGUCCCAGCCCAAGCCGUCCAUAUUAACUCACCUCACCAAGGCAACUCUAUUGUCUAAUUGCCUCGCCAAGAAUGCAUAAAUUCUUGAGCGUAUCCCGCAGUUGAGACCCAGCUGGAGGACAUCCCUGUAGUCUGUGAGUAUCUCGAUGUGUUCCCCGAUGACUUGCCGGGCAUGCCGCCCGACAGAGAUGUGGAGUAAUCUAUAGAGUUGAUCCCCAGUAUAGCUCCCAUUUCCAAGAGGCCUUAUAGAAUGCCACCAGCAGAGCUAGCUGAGUUAAAAACCCAAUUACAUGAGUUGUUGGAGAAAGGUUUCAUUCGCCCAAGUACAUCACCUUGGGGUUGCCCCCGCUGAGUUAAAACCCAAUUACAUGAGUUGUUGGAGAAAGGUUUCAUUCGUCCAAGUACAUCACCUUGGGGUUGCCCCGCCUUGUUCGUGAAGAAGAAGGAUGAGAUUCUCUGCAUGUGUGUGGACUACCGACCCCUCAAUGCGGUGACUAUCAAGAAUAAGUAUCCUCUUCCCCGCAUUGAUGUCUUGUUUGAUCAGUUAGCUGGAGCCAGAGUAUUUUUGAAGAUUGAUCUUUGCUCUGGUUGCCAUCAAAUCAAGAUCCGACCAUGUGACAUUUCCAAGGUGCCUUCUCCACAAGAUAUGGACUCUAUGAGAACCUGGUUAUGUCUUUUGGACUCACCAAUGCACCCGCUUAUUUCAUGUAUCUCAUGAAUUCGGUGUUCAUGCCCGAGUUGGACAAAUUCAUCGUGGUAUUCAUUGAUGACAUUCUGGUGUACUCAAAGAAUGAGGAAGACCAUGCAGAGCACCUUCGUAUUGUGCUCCAGUGCCUAAGAGAUCACAAACUCUAUGGCAAGUUCUCCAAGUGUGACUUCUGGCUGGACUGUGUUAAAUUCUUGGGGCACACCAUAUCCAGCGAUGGCAUAGCAGUAGACCCAAGCAAAGUUCAAGAAGUAAUGGACUGGAAGCCGCCUACUUCAGUUCAUCAAAUUAGAAGUUUUCUCAGUUUAGCAGGCUACUACCGUCGAUUCAUCCCGGAUUUCUCAAAGAUAGCUAAACCAAUGACUGGACUGCUAAAGAAAGCGGUUAAGUUUGUGUGGAGCGACAAAUGUGAAGAAGCUUUCCACACCUAGAAACAAUUAUUGACAUCUGCCCCAAUCUUAGCACAGCCUGACUCUUCUAGGCCGUUUGACGUGUAUUGUGACGCCUCUGGCACUGGACUUAGAUGUGUUCUUAUGCAAGACAACCGAGUCAUUGCCUAUGCCUCACGGGCAUUACGGCCUCAUGAGCUGAACUACCCUACACAUGAUCUAGAAUUGGCAGCAGUGAUUCACGCCUUAAAAAUAUGGAGACACUAUCUGAUGGGCACUCACUACAAUAUCUACACUGAUCACGGCAAGCCAUUUGAGGGUAGCAGGUACCUUGCAACCGCUACCUAUUCCGUCAUGGAAGUAGGAAGACAUUAGCAUGGAUUUCAUUGUUGGAUUGCCCCCUACCUCUCAGUGACAUGAUUCCAUUUGGGUUAUUGUGGACCGCCUCACCAAGUAUGCACACUUUCUUCCUGUUCACACCACCUACACCACCAAGAAGUAUGCAGCGUUGUAUCUCGACCGCAUUGUUUUUCCCUGCACGUUGUGCCAAAAACGAUCAUAUCUGAUCGAGGUGUCCAGUUUGUAGCACGUUUUUGGGAACAGUUACAAACUUCACUUGGCACCGAGCUAAUCCGUAGCUCAACAUAUCAUCCUCAGACAGAUGGCCAGACGGAGAGAGUGAAUCAAAUCCUAGAAGAUAUGCUACGAGCUUGUGUCAUCCAUUAUGACAAAAAUUGGGAUAAAUGCUUACCAUUGGCAGAGUUCUCUUACAACAAUAGCUACCAGGCUAGCUUGAAGAUGGCACCAUUCGAAGCCUUAUAUGGUCGAAGGUGUCGGACACCCUUAAAUUGGUUAGAAGUUGGGGAAAGGCAAACAUUUGGUCCUGAUCUAGUAACUGAAGCUGAAGAGCAAGUUAAGGUAAUUCAGGCAAAUCUCAAAGCAGCCCAAUCUUGACAGAAGAGCUACUCCGACAAGAGGAGGAGACCCCUAUAGUUUGACAUUGGAGAUCAUGUAUACCUCCGAGUCUCCCCGACCAAAGGAGUUCAACGGUUUGGAGUGAAGAGGAAAUUGGCUCCCCGUUACAUUGGCCCUUAUGAGAUUGUGGAAGUCUGCGGACCCGUUGCUUACCGAAUCCAACUACCUGAACAACUCUCAGCCAUUCAUGAUGUUUUCCAUGUCUCUCAACUGAAGAAAUGCGUCCAAGUUCUGACUGAGGUCUUGGAGCAGGAACGACUUAACCUUGAACCCGACCUAACCUAUGCCGAAUAUCCUGCCAAAGUCCUCGACCAUAAGGAGAGAUACACCCAACGACAAGUCGUGAAAAUGUACAAGAUCCUGUGGAGUAACCACACGGAAGAUGAAGCUACAUGGGAAACAGAGGAAUAUCUGAAUAAGCACUUCAGAGGUUUUCUUUUCAGCCAAGGAGGUAAGGCCCCCGAACCCCACUAGUUUUCUUUGCACCCGAAUCUCGGAACGAGAUUCUUUUUAAGGGGGGUAGGCUGUAACAACCUAGAUUAACUCAGCCGUGUUUAAUCUUAAGACAAAUCCCCUAAUCCAGUUGACUCAGUAUUUCGUUAGCUAUACCGGCUAAGUCUGGUUUUCAGCCCAACCUAGCGCCUUAGUGAGGGUUUAUCUUUGGAAAGUUGAGCAGGAUGCCAAGAAAACUCUUUAUAUAAGUUGGAGAACGAAGUCCGUGCUCUAACUUUGUUAAUUGGACCUUAAUCCAAUUCGCCUCCGAAGAUCCUCAAAUCUGCAGCUCAAAUCAGCCCCGACCCGUGAAACCCAGCAAACCGCCGUUUUCUCUAAGUCUCGAAACCAGUGUUCCUUUGAAUUUUGGAGCCUUGGAUCCCCAAAUCCACUGCAUUUUUGGACUCGGUCCGAUUACAAGAGUUGGGCCUUGGCAUGAGUACUACAACUCUUGUUAUGGGAGUUAAAGUGGUGAAGAUUCAAAAAUUGGGAGAUCAAGAGGCUGGAAAAUGGACCCAGAAAAAGGAUCCCGCGGAUCUCUCGUACCAAGCACGCCAGAGCGCGCGUGCGCCCUGUUUCAGAGCACCGCCGCCACGUGGCAUAACCUCACCGGUGAGCGCCGCCUCGACCAGUCGCCAGCCGCGACAAGAUGGAUCAGCACGCCUCUUUCCCAAUUGCGUGCAGAAGCACCCUCCAGACUUUACCACCCCGUCUCGUCUCGCCCGAGACCUCGCCGGCCGCGCCAGGCGUCCUGCCGCCGCUGCGACCAAAGAUUGGCCACUGCCGCGCCAGUACCGCCUCGCCUCCCACGUGCAUCGCCUCACCAGGAUCCCCGACCGCGCACCCCAACACCUUCUGGCCUUUCCGUUAUACCUCAGUCGCGCUGCCCACGCGCGCGCCCCGCGACGAUACAGUCUCCGCCAACCACCGCACAGGAAGUGACAACUCCCUUCUCCCCCGCCUCACUAGUCGUGUGCCGUGGCAGAGCCGCUAGUUCGCGCAUGCUCACGUCGCGUUGCUCGCCAUGUCUCAUCACCUGCAGUGCCCUCGCCUGUAGUGCCCCUCCCUCCCUCCUAUCCGCCAAUACCUAGUCACCGCAACCAAUGCGGCGCUUGACGUGACCAGACACGUGCUCGACCUUGCCAAUCCUUCCGCCCGGCAAAACCGCACUUGCCUAGCACUAUCUUCCAUGCCCAAUGACCAAAGAAUCUUGCCCCCGGAGCUCCGCUUCGCCGGCCAAUGGAGACGCUGACCAAUUGCCACCACGGUAGAGCACUCCAUUCUCUCUCGAUCUUAUCCUCACGCCGCUCGAACUCGUUUACUUCUGCGCAGCUAUAAAAGGGGUAUCGAAGCCUCUUACCGGAGUUCCCUUUGCCACCACCGCCCUUGCCGCCCUUGCUUGCUUGUUCUUCUCCAGCGCACUCAUCGCCGCACACUCCUCUGCUUCACACGCAAGUUCCGCCGCCUGAGCUCUCUGUGGAGCUCCCCUUGCGCCCAACACCCCCAGCCGCUUCACCUUCCUUCGCGCUGUGCUAGAGCUUGCUCGUUGCCCUCAAGAAGCACCGCCGCCGUCGGAACACCGCUGGACCUCGCCGCUGCCUGAGACUUAGCGCCUUUCGUUGUUCUGCCUGAGCUUGCUUCUUCCCGACCCCAAGUUUUCGUCAGUAGGACCAAAGGUGAGCUGUCGACCCCUUCCAGCUCGCCCGACCCCUAUCCGUUUCGCCCGACCCUAUCUGUUUCGCCCGACCCUUGUCCACCUCGCCCGAGGGCUCGGCUGUAUCCUUUUCUUUUGACCGAGGGUAUCUAUGUAAAAUUUCGAGGACUUCUCUGUGUUAAGUCUGAGAACACCGGUACAGUUAUUCUUUAGGUCUAAGGGUCAGAUCGUAAGUUUUUCCCUGUCCGACUCUUUAUCUUGUUCUAAAUCAAUAAAAGCUUGGGAAAUUCAUCUUAAAUCGAGGAAAAAUCAAAAAAAUGUGAAAUUACUUGGGUUGGAAUCCUCUUUCUGAGUAGAAUCUAAUAAAGUGGGUUUCAUACUCUUCCUUUAGUUUGCUAUAGCUUCUGGGCUAAAUCUUGCAAGUGUUGUUGAAAUAACCGUCUAAGUGUUUUAACCCUUGCAUUUGCAUCCGUGUAGAGCUAAACCUCGCUGAUGGCACUGUUGGCGCUAGAAAUCGGUCAACUGAAUCCCCAGCGUUCGACACACGACCCGGGAGAAUCUGCUUAACUCCUAUUCGGGUAAUUGCCCUGGUGCGGUUCGCGCGGCGUGCCAGCCAACCUGACCUGUUGAUUGGCAAGGAAGAAUACGUGUCAGGUUCAGAAAUCAGGAUCGGCUAAAUUUCCGAUCUCGAGAGAGCUUAUCAGCGAAUCGGCCGAUUUGCCGUAAUAAAGAAAUCGGCUAUAAGGCAGCCGAUCACUGUAGCCUUGUAGACAGAAAACUACUGGAGUAAUCGACACAAUGCUAUGGUAACAACACUAGGAAUAGAUCUAAUCGGCUAUAUGUGAAAUAAGUGAAUUAAAUAGCAGAAUAUAAGGAAAGCCGAAACUGCCAAUUCCUAGCUGGAUAACUGGUGAUAAAAAUUAGAAAAAUAGGUAAAACCUAUGAUUCUAGUAAAUAUCGAUAACUAGUGAAUAAAUCUAAACGAAACAACAGCGAUGCGCCCGAAGUUAAAGCUUAGAAUUUACUCGAUAAUCGGAACUUACAAGAUCGGCCGGAGAUCAAGUUGAUGCAGCCCUGCCAACCCGUACGAACUCGUAAAAAAGGGAAAGUAUUUGGCGAAGUCGCCUGCUUGAAAGUAAGUGCGAGGAAAUAGUAGUUGGUUGUAUUGGUUUGUUGAUGAUUACAGAUUUACAAAGGUAACUAUUUAUAGCCCCGUACAGAUGACUACUUAACCGACUAGAACUCUAUCUCUAAUCCAAAUAGAAAACGAAUAUUUACAAGCACGAUUCGUGCUAGGUUGGUUAUUAUAUGCUUCACGGGCUGAUCUCCCCUUCAUCCUUCUAUUUCCUUUUCAAGCCCAUACCGGCCCAAUUAUCCCAACCUCCUUAAUCGGCCGAUUCCUUAUCGGCAAAAGGUAACCGAUCGUGAACCUGUCGUGUCCGAUCCGAACCCCAAGGGUUAAGUGAGGUAGAAGUUAUCGGCCGAUCCCGCACUGUAGCAUUGGCCGACCUUGGACUGUAGCGCCAACCAACCGAUCUAGAACUGUAGCGCCAUUCGGCCGAUUCCCAACUGUACUUUUCCAAUUUCCUCUUCUCUUGGCGCCGAUUUCACUGGUGAUGAAAUCUGGCGUCAACAGGCACGUACGAGCUGCACCCGGUGCCAGAAGAUGAAGUUGUAGCCGAGCUGCCGCCUGCAGGAGCUGAAGCCGAGAGCGCCGAAGACCAGUUUGCUUCCACCCCGCUCGAAGGCAAGCCCCAGAGCAUAACUCAGUCCUUCUAAACUUGCGCAUGCCUUCAUUUUUAUGUAUGUGCAUUUACGUUACAGAAGUUGUUUGAAACCAUAGAUGCAUGACUUAGUUCCCUUGAUCUGAACACUAGUAUGAUAGGUCGAGUAGUUGCAUUGCUUAACAGGACUCGGUAAAAGUCGAGUGAUUUCCUGUCACUCAUGAGUUGUAGGAGUUGCUUGCUCUCCUUUUUGUCACAACUAUAAGGAGGAUGGACGGGGCAGGGCCUUGUGAACUAUUUUUGUGGUCGGUGGAUUGCCCCGUCUGUCUCCAUAAAAUUGAUUAAGAAAUGUGCUUCCUCUGUGGGAAUUGAUGGGGACGGCCGACACAGGAAGCGACCCUCUGUGGUGCGCGGAUGUUGUGAGAUUAGGUUCGCCAUGCAUGGUUAAGAAAUUCAAAUCGAUUCGUCUGCCUCUCACAGUUUGGGACUGCUUGAUCGCUAUGCUACACCGAGUAAAGAUGGAAUAGGAUGAUGAUAUUAAUCUUGCUGCUGGUUCUUUAAAUUGUUUGGAAACUAUGUUUGCUUAGCAUAAGUUGCUAAUGUAGUCUGGUUAAUGAACUUAGAAUCUGAGCUAAAAUAUUGAAAGUAAGGACAUACUCUAGUCACUUUUGGAAAAACAAACCCCUCAGCCAAAGAGCCUUGCAUGUCUAGAAGGUGGUGGAGUAGUUUUCCCACCGGUCGGUUAAGUUUUGUUGAGCGUAGUCGCUCAGCCUUGCUUGUGGCACCUCUUUCAGGUGAUGUCGAAGUUCCUGAGUUUGCUGUUGUUGGCACUUGGCCUCCCCAGCUCCCGCCUGGGUGGACGGUCGAGUGGGAUCCCUCCUCGGACGGCGAGGAUAGGGAUCAGUGAUGUCAUGAUCGGCCUCAUCAGUGACAUCCGACCCCGGCGCUAGCUUCCGUGGUUUAUC
rnacentral:lncRNA from 1 species